UUUGAAAUCUGGCGUCUUUGGCGUCGAGUUGUAAUUUGAAGAAGGUAUCUUUGGGCCCGGCUCUUGUCUAUGUUCCUUGGAACAGGACGUCACAGAGGGUGAGAAUCCCGUGCGAUGAGAUGACCCGGGUCUGUGUAAAGUUCCUUCGACGAGUCGAGUUGUUUGGGAAUGCAGCUCUAAGUGGGUGGUAAAUUCCAUCUAAAGCUAAAUAUUGGCGAGAGACCGAUAGCGAACAAGUACAGUGAUGGAAAGAUGAAAAGAACUUUGAAAAGAGAGUGAAAAAGUACGUGAAAUUGUUGAAAGGGAAGGGCUUGAGAUCAGACUUGGUAUUUUGCAUGCUGCUCUCUCGGGGGCGGCCGCUGCGGUUUACCGGGCCAGCAUCGGUUUGGAGCGGCAGGAUAAUGGCGGAGGAAUGUGGCACGGCUUCUGCUGUGUGUUAUAGCCUCUGACGAUACUGCCAGCCUAGACCGAGGACUGCGGUUUUUACCUAGGAUGUUGGCAUAAUGAUCUUAAGUCGCCCGUCUUGAAACACGGACCAAGGAGUCUAACGUCUAUGCGAGUGUUUGGGUGUAAAACCCGUACGCGUAAUGAAAGUGAACGAAGGUGGGGGCCCAUUAGGGUGCACCAUCGACCGAUCCUGAUGUGUUCGGAUGGAUUUGAGUAAGAGCAUAGCUGUUGGGACCCGAAAGAUGGUGAACUAUGCCUGAAUAGGGUGAAGCCAGAGGAAACUCUGGUGGAGGCUCGUAGCGGUUCUGACGU
rnacentral:rRNA from 1 species